GACGAACGCUGGCGGCGUGCUUAACACAUGCAAGUCGAAUGGAAAGGCCCAGCUUUUGUGGGGUGCUCGAGUGGCGAACGGGUGAGUAACACGUGAGUAACCUGCCCUUGACUUUGGGAUAACUUCAGGAAACUGGGGCUAAUACCGGAUAGGAGCUCCUGCUGCAUGGUGGGGGUUGGAAAGUUUCGGCGGUUGGGGAUGGACUCGCGGCUUAUCAGCUUGUUGGUGGGGUAGUGGCUUACCAAGGCUUUGACGGGUAGCCGGCCUGAGAGGGUGACCGGCCACAUUGGGACUGAGAUACGGCCCAGACUCCUACGGGAGGCAGCAGUGGGGAAUAUUGCACAAUGGGCGGAAGCCUGAUGCAGCAACGCCGCGUGCGGGAUGACGGCCUUCGGGUUGUAAACCGCUUUCGCCUGUGACGAAGCGUGAGUGACGGUAAUGGGUAAAGAAGCACCGGCUAACUACGUG
rnacentral:rRNA from 1 species